AACGAACGCUGGCGGCAUGCCUAACACAUGCAAGUCGAACGAGACCUUCGGGUCUAGUGGCGCACGGGUGCGUAACGCGUGGGAACCUGCCCUUAGGUUCGGAAUAACUCCCCGAAAGGGGUGCUAAUACCGGAUAAUGUCUUCGGACCAAAGAUUUAUCGCCUUUGGAUGGGCCCGCGUUGGAUUAGCUAGUUGGUAGGGUAAAAGCCUACCAAGGCGACGAUCCAUAGCUGGUCUGAGAGGAUGAUCAGCCACACUGGGACUGAGACACGGCCCAGACUCCAACGGGAGGCAGCAGGGGGGAAAAUUGGACAAGGGGCGAAAGCCAGAAACAGCAAGGCCGCGGGAGUGAUGAAGGGGUUAGGGUUGUAAGGCUCUUUUACCCGGGAUGAUAAUGACAGUACGGGGAGAAUAAGCCCCGGCUAACUCCGU
rnacentral:rRNA from 1 species